rnacentral:lncRNA from 1 species
ACUGGAUGUACAUCAAAAAAGCUUAUAGUAUCAUAUUAGUAAGCCAUCAAAUAUGUAUUAUUUGGCUAUGUAUUGUGUAUUUGUAAGUAUCACAUUUUAGAAACAAUAUAUAUCGAUAUAUCUAGAGAUGUGUAUUGGAACAUUGGAUAAAUAUUUUACUAGGUGUGUAUCAACUAGUCAUAUACUGCAUAUGAAUGAACAUC